UUACUACAUUGGUUAGAGGUAUAGGGGGAGGGUUGAGAUCUCACAAACAUGUUUAACCCCGCCGCAUUGUUGCGCCUGUCCCAAGUCAGGAGCCUCUGCCUUGUUAGUCUUGUAUUAUUUUAAUUUUAGUUUCUUGUGUACAAUUUGGAAAUUAGUAUGGCGUUCAUUAUCACUGGACUAGUAUAUAUUUGUUUAGGGGCCAGCUGAAGGACGCCUCCGGGUGCGGGAAUUUCUCGCUACAUUGAAGACCUGUUGGUGACCCUCUGCUGUUGCUUUUUAUUUGGGCGGGUUGUUGUCUCUUUGACACAUUCCCCAUUUCCAUUCUCAAUUUUAUCAUGUAAUUAUUAACAUGACAACUUGUUCAAUUCAAAUAAGUCAUUAUUUUUUAUACCUUUCAAUUUCUUUAUGUUUCUUUUCCCCCUAAAUACCCUUGAAUUUAUAACAACUGAAAAUCAUUUAUAGCCCUGAUUAGCUAUAAUUUCCUUUUUUUUCCUUCAUAAUAUCCAUAUUUUCAUAAUGACCUUGUUUUGUCGUAAUGUUUUUCUUAAUGGCUCUUUUUAUACAUUAUAGCCCUAUUUAUUUAUAAUAGUCCUGUAUUAAUGCCCUGUCAGUCUGUAAUUGACCCAGUUUUGUUUUUAAAAAUAAAUGGGCAGUUUCAUAAAUAGAGCACUAAAUUGGUUAAUAGCUUAUUUUACGACACUUUCAAAAAUGUGUAAGGGUUCCUUGGAACCCAGUGUCUCCCCUAAUUUUGCUGUUCGUCGCAGGCUAAAAAAAGAGGAGAAAUCAUUAAAAAUGUUCCUUAAGGUACCAGUUCUUGAAUGUAAGAAAAUGAAGAAGCUCCUUUCCAAAUUUGGUAGAAAUCCAGGAUGGUUUAUGAAUGUAAUAAAUAUUCUAAAAAAUUUCAGUGCAGACUUUUACAAUGUUUGUAAUGUUAACUUGAAGAAAAAACUAUAAAUUCCAUUUAUCAUUGUUUAUAAGUAAUAUACAGAAAAACAAGAAAUUAACUAUACAACAUUUCCCUCUCGAUACAAGCUUUUGAUUAUGAACAAGCUUCUGUCCAAGUUUGGUACAAAUCAAGGAUAGUUUAAGAAAGUUAUUAAAAAU
rnacentral:lncRNA from 1 species